rnacentral:rRNA from 1 species
UACGUAGGCAGCAAGCGUUGUUCGGAGUUACUGGGCGUAAAGGGCGCGUAGGCGGCCUUCUAAGUCGAACGUGAAAUCCCCGGGCUCAACCCGGGAACUGCGUCCGAUACUGGAAGGCUUGAAUCCGGGAGAGGGAUGCGGAAUUCCUGGUGUAGCGGUGAAAUGCGCAGAUAUCAGGAAGAACACCCGUGGCGAAGGCGGUUCUCUGGGACGGUACUGACGCUGAGACGCGAAAGCGUGGGGAGCGAACAGG